rnacentral:rRNA from 1 species
AUACGGAGGGUGCAAGCGUUGUUCGGAAUCACUGGGCGUAAAGGGCGCGCAGGCGGUUUGGUAAGUCAGAUGUGAAAGCCCACGGCUCAACCGUGGAAGUGCAUUUGAAACUGCCAGGCUUGAGUACCAGAGGGGAAAGUGGAAUUCCCGGUGUAGAGGUGAAAUUCGUAGAUAUCGGGAGGAAUACCGGUGGCGAAGGCGACUUUCUGGCUGGAUACUGACGCUGAGGCGCGAAAGCGUGGGGAGCAAACAGGAUUAGAAACCCUAGUAGUCC